rnacentral:rRNA from 1 species
UACGGGGGGGGUAAGCGUUGUUCGGAAUUACUGGGCGUAAAGGGCUCGUAGGCGGCCAACUAAGUCAGACGUGAAAUCCCUCAGCUUAACUGGGGAACUGCGUCUGAUACUGGAUGGCUUGGAUUUGGGAGAGGGAUGCGGAAUUCCAGGUGUAGCGGUGAAAUGCGUAGAUAUCUGGAGGAACACCGGUGGCGAAGGCGGCAUCCUGGACCAAUAUUGACGCUGAGGAGCGAAAGCCAGGGGAACAAACGGG